rnacentral:lncRNA from 1 species
GGAGGGCGGGGCUUUCUCGCGAGAAGGGGGCAUUUUCGCCGCUGAUUGGUGUAAUUCUUUUGAUGGAUGGCCUCCGCGAUCCGUAAACGGCUGGGCCGUGGAGUGAGAAGUCCGGCCAAUCGGCUCACACUUCCCGUUAUCUGGCCUCAAAUUCCCCGGCCCCCUUCCACGCCCCUACCUCUAAGCGUCUCUCAUUGGAGAAUUUAACAAAGUGUCUUCAUUCAGUAGGGGGCCAAACUAAAUACUCGGUGCAGCAACCCUCGCCUGGGUCAGGUCAAUCGGCUGCCAGCCGGAUUGGCCGGCGUAUCAUUCCAGAAUGUACUGUUUGUUCUGUGGGGUUUAGGAGUUCUACAGUGGUUCUGCCCCAUCUUUCUAAAAAUACAAUGGAGGAUCAGGGGUGUGUGAGCACCACCCCGCUUGGUCUUGGAGACGGAUCAAAUCCAGACUGAUGAAGAUAUCAGUUCUGAUGAAGAAAGCAAAACAUAAGGAGGUUAAGGAACUCGUCCUUAGGCAGAUACCUGGUAAGUAGCACAGGUGACAUUGAAACUCCCAUUUCUUAGAAUCACAAAUGUGGGCUAUUUCCAUGAAGAGAAACCAAGUUUUAGAUGGGAAGAUAGAUGAUUUCUAGAUGUUUUUGUAAUUCCUACUAUUUUUGGCUUUACUCUUUGGCCAUAUUUUAAUUUUUUUAUCCCUACAUCCACAUUUUUCACAUAUACAAAACAUUAUU